AACCCUGGCAGUGGGCAAAGAGACACCUUGUUGGUGGUGGUGUUCUUAUAUCAGUCAAGGGCAGAGCAGAUGGCAGUCCUUUGUUCAUCCUAGCUUGAUGCCUGUCUUGGUAGCCAAAGAUGUCUUAUAUCUAGGACUUAUAA